CCUCCCCAACUCAACCUCAUCUUCCUCGCCCAACCUAACAUCAUCAUCUCCCAACUCAACGCUCUUCCUCCCCCAACUCAACCUCAUCUUCCUCGCCCAACUCAACACAAUCAUCUCCCAACUCAACCUCAUCUUCCUCCCCAACAUCAUCUUCCUCCCCAACUCAACAUCAUCUUCCUCUUCCAAUUCAUCACGCUCUUCCUCCUCCAACUCAACCUCAUCUUCCUCCCCAACUCAUCAUCAUCUUCCUCUUCCAACCCAACACAAUCAUCUCCCAACUCAACUCUUCCUCCCCAAAAUCAUCUUCCUCCCCCAACCCAACCUCAUCUUCCUCCCCCACUCAAUGUCAUCUUCAUCCCCAACCCAACCUCAUCUUCCUCUUCCAACUCAUCAUCAUCAUCUCCCAACUCAACGCCCUCUUCCUCCCCAACAUCAUCUUCCUCCCCAUCAACCUCAUCUUCCUCCCCAACCUCAUCUUCCUCACCCAACUCAACCUCAUCUUCCUCUUCCAACUCAACAUCAUCUUCAUCCCCAACUCAUCAUCAUCUUCCUCCCCCAACUCAACCUCAUCUUCCUCACCCAACUCAAUGUCAUCAUCUCCCAACUCAACGCCCUCUUCCUCCCCAAUGUCAUCUUCCUCACCCACUCAUCAUCAUCUUCCUCACCCAACUCAACCUCAUCUUCAUCCCCAACUCAACGCUCUUCCUCCCCAACCUCAUCUUCCUCCCCAACUCAACAUCAUCUUCCUCCCCAACCCAACCUCAUCUUCCUCCCCCAAAUCAACCUCAUCUUCCUCCCCAACUCAUCAUCAUCUUCCUCACCCAACCCAACCUCAUCUUCCUCCCCAACCUCAUCUUCCUCACCCAACUCAACCUCAUCUUCCUCUUCCAACUCAACAUCAUCUUCAUCCCCAACUCAUCAUCAUCUUCCUCCCCCAACUCAACCUCAUCUUCCUCACCCAACUCAAUGUCAUCAUCUCCCAACUCAACGCCCUCUUCCUCCCCAAUGUCAUCUNNNNNNNNNNCUUUUAACCAUUUCCACCUUUUUUAACCAUUUCCUAUUUUUUUAA
rnacentral:lncRNA from 1 species